rnacentral:rRNA from 1 species
AGCGAACGCUGGCGGCAGGCUUAACACAUGCAAGUCGAACGGGCGUAGCAAUACGUCAGUGGCAGACGGGUGAGUAACGCGUGGGAACGUACCUUUUGGUUCGGAACAACCCAGGGAACUUGGGCUAAUACCGGAUAAGUCCUUACGGGGAAAGAUUUAUCGCCGAAAGAUCGGCCCGCGUCUGGAUUAGCUAGUUGGUGUGGUAACGGCGCACCAAGGCGACGAUCAGUAGCUGGUCUGAGAGGAUGAUCAGCCACAUUGGGACUGAGACACGGCCCAAACUCCUACGGGAGGCAGCAGUGGGAAUAUUGGACAAUGGGCGCAAGCCUGAUCCAGCCAUGCCGCGUGAGUGAUGAAGGCCCUAGGGUUGUAAAGCUCUUUUGUGCGGGAA